CGGGCUGCACAGUUGAGACUUCGAGCAACACUGCCACGUUGGAAGAUCCCAUGGUGUCUAGAGAUAUUGCUGCAAACUGCCUUGAACAACAUCACGAAGAAACAAUAUCUGAACUCCGUCGUAAGCUUGACCUGGCCAACAAAAAAUAUCUCAAGCUGUCACGAGAGCUUCAGAAUCUUAAAGAUGACUGUAGAGGGCAUCUUGCUGACGACCAGAUCCUCUGUAUGCAACAAAAAGAUAUGAGAGGCAACAGAUGGUCUGGGGAGACUACCAAACGAGCCUUGCAACUCCGUCUUGCCUGUGGACACAGAGGCUACAACUUCCUUCGAGAAGGAUUCCUGCCCUUGCCAGCCGAGCGAAC